CCUACGGGUGGCUGCAGUGGGGAAUAUUGGACAAUGGGGGGAACCCUGAUCCAGCCAUGCCGCGUGUGUGAAGAAGGCCCUCGGGUUGUAAAGCACUUUCAGUGAGGAAGAACGCCUGGUGGUUAAUACCCAUCAGGAAAGACAUCACUCACAGAAGAAGCACCGGCUAACUCCGUGCCAGCAGCCGCGGUAAUACGGAGGGUGCGAGCGUUAAUCGGAAUUACUGGGCGUAAAGCGCGCGUAGGUGGCUUGAUAAGCCGGUUGUGAAAGCCCCGGGCUCAACCUGGGAACGGCAUCUGGAACUGUCAAGCUAGAGUGCAGGAGAGGAAGGUAGAAUUCCCGGUGUAGCGGUGAAAUGCGUAGAGAUCGGGAGGAAUACCAGUGGCGAAGGCGGCCUUCUGGACUGACACUGACACUGAGGUGCGAAAGCGUGGGUAGCAAACAGGAUUAGAUACCCUUGUAGUC
rnacentral:rRNA from 1 species